rnacentral:tRNA from 1 species
GGUUGUGGCUCAGUGGUAGAGGGCUUGCCUAGCAUAUGCAAGGCCCUGGGUUCGAUCCUUAGCACCA